AAGAGAGAGAGUGUAAAAAUGGGAGAGAUGCUUGAUUUGACACGGUACAAAAAAUGAAGGAGAAUCCUCCUCCACUGGUGAUGACACACUGCCCAAGGUAGGCAACGACACACUGCCCAAGGCGGUAGUUUGCUUCACCUAGCCUACAAAGGCUGGGCUACCCUACUGCGCGCAGGGCCUAUAGUGCAUUGCAGCAUUGCGCACAGGCCCUAGGCACGCAGGCCUAUUCACUUAGGCCUGCCGUACGGACAUCGCACACAUAGUCUGCGGUGCUAGUCUUGUCU
rnacentral:lncRNA from 1 species